GGUAUAGACCCGAAACCCGGUGAUCUAGCCAUGGGCAGGUUGAAGGUUGGGUAACACUAACUGGAGGACCGAACCGACUAAUGUUGAAAAAUUAGCGGAUGACUUGUGGCUGGGGGUGAAAGGCCAAUCAAACCGGGAGAUAGCUGGUUCUCCCCGAAAUCUAUUUAGGUAGAGCCUUGAGCGGACACCUUCGGGGGUAGAGCACUGUUUCGGCUAGGGGUCCAUCCCGGAUUACCAACCCGAUGCAAACUACGAAUACCGAAGAGUGAUACUCAGGAGACACACGGCGGGUGCUAACGUCCGUCGUGGAGAGGGAAACAACCCAGACCGCCAGCUAAGGUCCCAAAGUCUAUAUUAAGUGGGAAACGAAGUGGGAAGGCUUAGACAGCUAGGAUGUUGGCUUAGAAGCAGCCAUCAUUUAAAGAAAGCGUAAUAGCUCACUAGUCGAGUCGGCCUGCGCGGAAGAUGUAACGGGGCUCAAAUAUAGCACCGAAGCUGCGGCAUCAGUAGCAAUACUGUUGGGUAGGGGAGCGUUCUGUAAGCGGAUGAAGGUGAAUCGAGAGGUUUGCUGGACGUAUCAGAAGUGCGAAUGCUGACAUAAGUAACGAUAAAACGGGUGAAAAACCCGUUCGCCGGAAGACCAAGGGUUCCUGUCCAACGUUAAUCGGGGCAGGGUGAGUCGGCCCCUAAGGCGAGGCUGAAAAGCGUAGUCGAUGGGAAACGGGUUAAUAUUCCCGUACUUGGAUAAACUGCGAUGUGGGGACGGAGCAGGUUAGGUUAUCGCACUGUUGGAUAUGUGCGUUUAAGUUGGUAGGUGUGAAGUUUAGGCAAAUCCGGACUUCUUUAACACUGAGAGAUGAUGACGAGGCUCUACGGAGCUGAAGUAACCGAUACCACACUUCCAGGAAAAGCCACUAAGCUUCAGGUUUAUCUAAACCGUACUGAAAACCGACACAGGUGGUCAGGUAGAGAAUACUCAGGCGCUUGAGAGAACUCGGGUGAAGGAACUAGGCAAAAUAGCACCGUAACUUCGGGAGAAGGUGCGCCGGCGUAGAUUGUAGUCCCUUGCGGAUGAAGGUUGAACCGGUCGAAGAUACCAGCUGGCUGCAACUGUUUAUUAAAAACACAGCACUCUGCAAACACGAAAGUGGACGUAUAGGGUGUGAUGCCUGCCCGGUGCUGGAAGGUUAAUUGAUGGUGUAAUCGAAAGAGAAGCUCCUGAUCGAAGCCCCAGUAAACGGCGGCCGUAACUAUAACGGUCCUAAGGUAGCGAAAUUCCUUGUCGGGUAAGUUCCGACCUGCACGAAUGGCAUAAUGAUGGCCAGGCUGUCUCCACCCGAGACUCAGUGAAAUUGAAAUCGCCGUGAAGAUGCGGUGUACCCGCGGCUAGACGGAAAGACCCCGUGAACCUUUACUAUAGCUUGACACUGAACAUUGAAUUUUGAUGUGUAGGAUAGGUGGGAGACUUUGAAGUAGUCACGCCAGUGAUUAUGGAGUCGUCCUUGAAAUACCACCCUUUAACGUUUGAUGUUCUAACGAAGAUUACGAAACGUGGUCUCGGACAGUGUCUGGUGGGUAGUUUGACUGGGGCGGUCUCCUCCCAAAGAGUAACGGAGGAGCACGAAGGUUUGCUAAUGACGGUCGGACAUCGUCAGGUUAGUGCAAUGGUAUAAGCAAGCUUAACUGCGAGACAGACAAGUCGAGCAGGUACGAAAGUAGGUCAUAGUGAUCCGGUGGUUCUGAAUGGAAGGGCCAUCGCUCAACGGAUAAAAGGUACUCCGGGGAUAACAGGCUGAUACCGCCCAAGAGUUCAUAUCGACGGCGGUGUUUGGCACCUCGAUGUCGGCUCAUCACAUCCUGGGGCUGAAGUAGGUCCCAAGGGUAUGGCUGUUCGCCAUUUAAAGUGGUACGCGAGCUGGGUUUAGAACGUCGUGAGACAGUUCGGUCCCUAUCUGCCGUGGGCGUUGGAGAAUUGAUUGGGGCUGCUCCUAGUACGAGAGGACCGGAGUGGACGCACCACUGGUGUUCCGGUUGUGUCGCCAGACGCAUUGCCGGGUAGCUAAGUGCGGAAGAGAUAAGUGCUGAAAGCAUCUAAGCACGAAACUUGCCAAGAGAUGAGUUCUCCCUGUCUUUAAGACAGUAAGGGUUGUUUAAGACUAAGACGUAGAUAGGUCUGGUGUGUAAGCGGUGCGAGCCGUUGAGCUAACAGAUACUAAUUGCCCGAGAGGCUUAACUAU
rnacentral:rRNA from 1 species